GGCAUGCAAGUCGAACGAGGACGCUGCUUCGGCAGUUAUUAGAGUGGCGAACGGGUGAGUAACGCGUGGGAACCUGCCUUAUGGUACGGAAUAACGGCUGGAAACGGCUGCUAAUACCGCAUACGCCCUACGGGGGAAAGAUUUAUUGCUCUAUGAUGAGCCCGCGUAAGAUUAGGUAGUUGGUGAGGUAACGGCUCACCAAGUCAACGAUCUUUAGCUGGUUUGAGAGGAUGAUCAGCAACACUGGAACUGAGACACGGUCCAGACUCCUACGGGAGGCAGCAGUGGGGAAUCUUAGACAAUGGGGGAAACCCUGAUCUAGCCAUGCCGCGUGAGUGAAGAAGGCCUUAGGGUCGUAAAACUCUUUCGCUAGGGAAGAUAAUGACGGUACCUAGUAAAGAAACCCCGGCUAACUCCGUGCCAGCAGCCGCGGUAAUACGGAGGGGACUAGCGUUGUUUGGAAUUACUGGGCGUAAAGAGUACGUAGGCGGCUUAUCAAGUUGGGUGUGUGUGAAAGCCCGGGGCUCAACCACGGAACUGCACUCAAAACUGGUAAGCUAGAGAUCGGAAGAGGUAAGUGGAAUUCCCAGUGUAGAGGUGAAAUUCGUAGAUAUUGGGAAGAACACCAGUGGCGAAGGCGGCUUACUGGUCCGAGACUGACGCUGAGGUGCGAAAGGCGUGGGGAGCGAACAGGAUUAGAUACCCUGGUAGUCCCACGCCGUAAAACGAUGGAUGCUAGGUGUCGGGGCCUUUUGAACUUCAGUGCCGUAGCUAACGCGUUAAGCACCCCGCCUGGGGAGUACGGUCGCAAGAUUAAAACUCAAAGGAAUUGACGGGGGCCCGCACAAGCGGUGGAGCAUGUGGUUUAAUUCGACGCAACGCGCAGAACCUUACCAGCCCUUGACAUACCAAUCGCGGUUUCUAGAGAUAGAUUCCUUCAGUUCGGCUGGAUUGGAUACAGGUGCUGCAUGGCUGUCGUCAGCUCGUGUCGUGAGAUGUUGGGUUAAGUCCCGCAACGAGCGCAACCCUCGCCUUUAGUUGCCAGCAAUUCGGUUGGGCACUCUAAAGGAACUGCCGGUGAUAAGCCGGAGGAAGGUGGGGAUGACGUCAAGUCCUCAUGGCCCUUAUGGGCUGGGCUACACACGUGCUACAAUGGCGGAUACAGUGAGUUGCUACCUGGUGACAGGGAGCUAAUCUCCAAAAUCCGUCUCAGUUCGGAUUGUUCUCUGCAACUCGAGAGCAUGAAGUUGGAAUCGCUAGUAAUCGUGGAUCAGCAUGCCACGGUGAAUACGUUCCCGGGCCUUGUACACACCGCCCGUCACACCA
rnacentral:rRNA from 1 species